GUUUGUUUGGAGUUAUAAAGAAUUUAACCUGCCCCCUGAUUAAUUAUUUUAAAGGGCCGCAGUAUUAUAACUGUGCAAAGGUAGCAUAAUCAUUAGGUUUUUAAUUGAAAUCUCGUAUGAAUGGUUGGACAAAAGAAAAACUCUCUUUAUAUUAAGUUUUGAAUUUAACUUUUAAGUGAAAAGGCUUAAAUAUUCUAAAGGGACGAUAAGACCCUAUAAAACUUUACAUUGUCAUUAAUUUUGAUUGAAUUUAUGAAUAAGAAUUUUAUUUGAUUAUUUGUUAUGUUGGGGAGACAUAAGUAAAAUUUUUUUUUAACUGCUUUGAUAGUUAUACAAUUAUUAAUGAGUAAGUAGAAGAUCCUUUUUUAAGAUUAGUAGAUUAAGUUACUUUAGGGAUAACAGUGUAAUUUCUUUUAAGAGUUCUUAUCGAAAAAGAAGGUUGCAACCUCGAUGUUGAAUUAAAAUAUCUAUAUAAUGGAGAGAUUAUAUAAGAAGGUCUGUUCGACCUUGAAAAUUUUACAUGAUUUGAGUUCAAACCGGCGUAAG
rnacentral:rRNA from 2 species